GACGGAAGGUGCAAGCGUUGCUCGGAAUCACUGGGCGUAAAGGGUGCGUAGGCGGCCGUGCAAGUCUGGCGUGAAAGCCCCGGGCUCAGCCCGGGAAGUGCGCUCGAAACUGCGCGGCUCGAGUGCCGGAGGGGAGAGUGGAAUUCCUGGUGUAGCGGUGAAAUGCGUAGAUAUCGGGAGGAACACCAGUGGCGAAGGCGACUUCUGGGACAUUCCUGACGCUGAGGAGCGAAAGCGUGGGGAGCAAAGCGGG
rnacentral:rRNA from 1 species